rnacentral:rRNA from 1 species
GAUGAACGCUGACAGAAUGCUUAACACAUGCAAGUCAACUUGAAUUUGGGUUUUUAACUUAGGUUUGGGUGGCGGACGGGUGAGUAACGCGUAAAGAACUUGCCUCACAGUUAGGGACAACAUUUGGAAACGAAUGCUAAUACCUAAUAUUAUGAUAAUAGGGCAUCCUAUAAUUAUGAAAGCUAUAAGCGCUGUGAGAGAGCUUUGCGUCCCAUUAGCUAGUUGGAGAGGUAACGGCCCACCAAGGCGAUGAUGGGUAGCCGGCCUGAGAGGGUGAUCGGCCACAAGGGGACUGAGACACGGCCCUUACUCCUACGGGAGGCAGCAGUGGGGAAUAUUGGACAAUGGACCAAGAGUCUGAUCCAGCAAUUCUGUGUGCACGAUGAAGUUUUUCGGAAUGUAAAGUGCUUUCAGUUGGGAAGAAAGAAAUGACGGUACCAACAGAAGAAGUGACGGCUAAAUACGUGCCAGCAGCCGCGGUAAUACGUAUGUCACGAGCGUUAUCCGGAUUUAUUGGGCGUAAAGCGCGUCUAGGUGGUUAUGUAAGUCUGAUGUGAAAAUGCAGGGCUCAACUCUGUAUUGCGUUGGAAACUGUAUAACUAGAGUACUGGAGAGGUAAGCGGAACUACAAGUGUAGAGGUGAAAUUCGUAGAUAUUUGUAGGAAUGCCGAUGGGGAAGCCAGCUUACUGGACAGAUACUGACGCUGAAGCGCGAAAGCGUGGGUAGCAAACAGG